ACACCCCUCAAGCCCCCGGGCUUGGCGUUGGGGAUCGGGAACAGCGGAGUCGGCCCCCCCCCUCGGGGGGGACCGUCGAAGCCCCCGUCCCCCAAAUGCAUCGGCGGUCACGCCGCGGCCUCUUGCGCGUAGUAGCUAACACCUCGCGCCGGAGCCCGUCGUGGUCCACGCCGUAAAACCCCCGACUUUUUAAAG
rnacentral:misc_RNA from 1 species